ACUAUUUUGGCAGAUUAGUGUAAUAGAUUUAGAAUUUAUAUAUGUAGAAAACUACAAAUAGUA
rnacentral:tRNA from 1 species